AUAUUUAUUUAUUUAUUAUAUGUAAGUACACUGUAGUUGUCUUCAGAUACACCAGAAGAGGGAAUCAGAUCUCAUUACGGAUGGUUGUGAGCUACCAUG
rnacentral:lncRNA from 1 species